rnacentral:rRNA from 1 species
CACGUAGGGGGCAAGCGUUGUCCGGAUUUAUUGGGCGUAAAGAGCUCGUAGGCGGUUCGGUAAGUCGGGUGUGAAACCUCCAGGCUCAACCUGGAGAUGCCACCUGAUACUGCUGUGACUCGAGUCCGGUAGGGGAGCGUGGAAUUCCUGGUGUAGCGGUGAAAUGCGCAGAUAUCAGGAGGAACACCAGCGGCGAAGGCGGCGCUCUGGGCCGGAACUGACGCUGAGGCACGAAAGCGUGGGGAGCAAACAGG